rnacentral:rRNA from 1 species
AGAGUUUGAUCCUGGCUCAGAACGAACGCUGGCGGCAGGCUUAACACAUGCAAGUCGAACGCAUCCUUCGGGGUGAGUGGCAGACGGGUGAGUAACGCGUGGGAACGUGCCCUUCAGUUCGGGAUAACCCAGGGAAACUUGGGCUAAUACCGGAUACGUGCGAGAGCAGAAAGAUUUAUCGCUGAAGGAUCGGCCCGCGUCUGAUUAGCUAGUUGGUGGGGUAAUGGCCCACCAAGGCGACGAUCAGUAGCUGGUCUGAGAGGAUGAUCAGCCACAUUGGGACUGAGACACGGCCCAAACUCCUACGGGAGGCAGCAGUGGGGAAUAUUGGACAAUGGGCGCAAGCCUGAUCCAGCCAUGCCGCGUGAGUGAUGAAGGCCUUAGGGUUGUAAAGCUCUUUCGUCCGGGACGAUAAUGACGGUACCGGAAGAAGAAGCCCCGGCUAACUUCGUGCCAGCAGCCGCGGUAAUACGAAGGGGGCUAGCGUUGUUCGGAAUCACUGGGCGUAAAGGGCGCGUAGGCGGCUUUGUAAGUCGGGGGUGAAAGCCUGUGGCUCAACCACAGAAUUGCCUUCGAUACUGCAUGGCUUGAGACCGGAAGAGGUAAGUGGAACUGCGAGUGUAGAGGUGAAAUUCGUAGAUAUUCGCAAGAACACCAGUGGCGAAGGCGGCUUACUGGUCCGGUUCUGACGCUGAGGGCGAAAGCGUGGGGAGCAAACAGGAUUAGAUACCCUAGUAGUCC